rnacentral:rRNA from 1 species
AUUGAACGCUGGCGGCAGGCUUAACACAUGCAAGUCGAGCGGGGGAAGGUAGCUUGCUACCGGACCUAGCGGCGGACGGGUGAGUAAUGCUUAGGAAUCUGCCUAUUAGUGGGGGACAACAUCUCGAAAGGGAUGCUAAUACCGCAUACGUCCUACGGGAGAAAGCAGGGGAUCUUCGGACCUUGCGCUAAAUGAUGAGCCUAAGUCGGAUUAGCUAGUUGGUGGGGUAAAGGCCUACCAAGGCGACGAUCUGUAGCGGGUCUGAGAGGAUGAUCCGCCACACUGGGACUGAGACACGGCCCAGACUCCUACGGGAGGCAGCAGUGGGGAAUAUUGGACAAUGGGCGGAAGCCUGAUCCAGCCAUGCCGCGUGUGUGAAGAAGGCCUUAUGGUUGUAAGGCACUUUAAGCGAGGAGGAGGCUACUUAGAUUAAUACUCUAGGAUAGUGGACGUUACUCGCAGAAUAAGCACCGGCUAACUCUGUGCCAGCCGCCGCCGUAA